rnacentral:rRNA from 1 species
UACGAAGGGGCUAGCGUUGCUCGGAAUCACUGGGCGUAAAGGGUGCGUAGGCGGGUCUUUAAGUCAGGGGUGAAAUCCUAGGAGCUCAACUCCAGAACUGGCCUUUGAUACGUGAGGAUCGUUGAGUUCGGGAGAGGUGAGUGGAAGCUGCGAGUGUAGAGGUGAAAUUCGUAGAUAUUCGCAAGAACACCAGUGACGAAGGCGGCU